AAAAUUUUCUGUAAACUUUUCCUAGUUGUAUGGAGCAGUUUCUCAAUGUAUGGUCUGAUAGAGAGCUAUUAUAAGUAUCUACUCACUGGCAGAGUUGUGAAUAGAACAUAAACUUCUAACAUUUCCAGUCUCAUUUCCUAGAUUCAUUGGUUUUAUUUGUCUUAACAGAUUGCAACAAUGGAAGUCUUAGUUAAUCAUGAUGCCUGACAAAGAAAAUACAGACUAAAUAGUAGUUUUUAAAAAAAGUGUCUUUCAUAGCCAGUUCUUAUCUGAUUUUACUGAAACCGACUAUGUAAUUACAAAGGAACUAAGCCAUACUAUACAAACACAACUCAGUAAGAGAGGAAAGUAUCUAGUGCCUUCCUUUAAUACUAUCCCCCUCCCACCAUUUUGGAAAUAGCCUUAUGGAGCUGAGGGUCACCCAAGUGCCCUCUUGGAAUUCUCAGUUUUUCUCUUCCUUGCUUCAGCUGCUGUAUUUUGUAUGCCACAAAUUCUUGGAGGGAAAUAUAUGUUUUACUGACAUGUUUCCUACUAGCUUCAUGUUACAUAAAAAAAAAUGAAAAUAUAAUUAAGGGUUCGUGUUCUACACGUGCUUUACUUUGUCAUUACCUGAAAACAAGCUUUACCUUUGGAGUAUGGAUAAUAAUUUGACAAUUAUUUGGUCACAUGCUUUAAAUCUAAAAAAAAUUUGUAGCAAUUUUUCUUAUUUAUUUUUUACAGUCCGUAACUAUAACAGUGACAAAUUCCGACACGGCAAAUGACACUAUCUUUUGACACCUAGUUCUUUUUGUUUCCAAGGGCUCUGAGAAAGACUUCCAGCUGUGGGUGAGUUCUGGCAAGGAAAAACUUCCACUAACUGGUAAGUGUCAGGGAAAAUCUAAGAUGGGAUUGAUUAUUCCAUCUACUAAACUGCUGCCAAAGGAAGCAGAGGACUCCGUCUCUCCUUCCCCUACUCAGGAGUCCCUCCUUCUGGAGCAGAAGAUCACAGACAUGCAAAUCCAUUUCAUACUGAAGCCCAGGCACCCAGCCCAGAACAAGCAAGGGAGAGGUGAGCCACUUGCCUUUCUUCAAGUGCCUUCCCUUGGCUCAUGUCUCCAUGCUUAAACACAAUUCAG
rnacentral:lncRNA from 1 species